rnacentral:lncRNA from 1 species
GGUGAAGUCUCACUCUGUUGCCCAGGCUGGAGUGCAGUGGCACGAUCUCGGCUCGCUGCAACCUCCACCUCCCAGGUUCAAGCGAUCCUUCUGUUUCAGCCUCUCCAGUGGCUGGUAUUACAGGAACACACCACCAUGCCUGGCUAAUGCUUCUCUUUCUAUAAAUGAAGACGUGAGGCCGUGUAAGCUCCAAGAGAGCAGGGAUCUUGUUUGUCUUGGUCACCGUGAUAUUUCAGCUGCUGACCCAGUGCUUGAAGCAUAAAGAGAAACUGAGGCCCAUAAAAUUGAAUGGCUCAUCUCAGAUCAAGUGGCCAGAUCAAUGAAGAGAAGUGUCCUUAGGUCCGGCUGCUGGUGUGAAGUAUGCUCUGGAGGUCUGACAUCCACUCUCCCUCAGACUUUCUAAUACGGCAGGAAUUCCGUCCAUGAACUUUAUAAUAAACUGGAGCUAAAUCUGUCAGAAAAUGGAAGAAAUCUGGAUAGCAUUUCAGGAGCACUGGCAAAUGCCUACUCCUUACUUCCUAAUCCCAAACUGUCACACUGUGGCUGCACAUGUGCCCAAGCCCUUGUAUACUCAAGCUAGAGUUGCCAGAUGAAAUGGAGGACAUGGCUGGGUGCGGUGGCUCAGCUCGGAGCAGUGGCUCACGCCUGUAAUCCCAGCACUUUGGGAGGCCGAGGUGGGCUGAUGGCCUGAGGUCAGGAGUUCAAAACCAGCGUGGCCAACAAGAUGUGCCAGUUCUGGUAAAUUUCCUAGCAAGCUUGAAGGAAGUGAAGGACAACUGCAAGGAAGGGCAGGAUGGAGCAUGCAGCCCACGUAUUCCCCAGCUUGGUGGGGCAGAAUGCGUUCUUGGCUCCUGAGGAAUGGGCAGGCAACGCACAGGGGUCCUGGGAAGAAAGGGAGAGAAUAUCCUGGGAGAGCCAUAGACCCUGGCACCCUCCUGUGGUCCUUCAUCAGGAUAAAUUUCUAAAAGAAGAAUUACUGGCCAAAGGAUUCCUCUUCAGUUGGAAACAGCAGCAAAGUUCACAGGUCGUGAGUGGAUGUAAAGUGGACGGAACAGGUUGUUGCCAGUCUAUUGGAGUAGGAUGGUAGAUGAGCAGUCCCGUUGGCUAACAGGUGUGGGUAUGCCUGUUUUAAAAAUUAGCAUGUUGUAGGGGAAUAUUUCUCAAACUUUUGUCACGUAUCUACCUCUUAGGCAUUUUUUACUUUAUUCACCUGUACUACUAUUUAAUAUUUUUAAAAUUCAACUGAUUUUUUUUUUUGCUUAAAUACAUGUCUUUAAAACUGGAACUUUAUUCGCCACUGUAAAUGGAAAACCAGUGUCAUUUGCCAUAUAUAGAAGUGAACUAUAUAGUAAAUACGGUGAAAGUGAAAUGGUAUCAUCACACUUGUGCUAGAUUCCAUUUCCUAUAGAAGGUUCUGGGUUUCUUAAAAGGCUUGUUAAAAAGAGAGAUGAGUAAAUGUGAGAGGAAUUUAAGACAUACUAGCACCAUUAAGACUUUCUCCUUAAAGUAAUCUGGAGGAUUUAAAUUGAGAAUUGAAAAAAGUAACUUUAUUUUACAUAAGAAAUUAUGUAAAAGAAUUAUGUUAUUUAAUGCCACAUCCAUACGUCAUCAAGAGUCAACUUGGUGACCACUAGUGGCCCAUGUCCCACACUUUGAGAAACGUGUGUUGGGGUGGGAAUCUGAAGUCAGAAAAACUGGAGUAUGAUAACCACCUCAGCACUUAUUAGAGGCCUUCACUUGGGAAUGAUGACCCUUCCUUGUAGGGUUGUAGUGAGAAUGACAGAUAAUAUAUGAAAAGAUAAAACAUGGUGCCAGAGGCAUUAGCAGGUGCUGCGAAGGGGCUGUUGUAUUUCUUGUUAUACUGGAGUGGUUCUCCACCCUGGAUGCAUAUUAGAAUCAUCUGAAGGGCUUUUUAAAAAUACAGAUAUCAUGACCUCACCCCUGGAGAUCCUAAUUUAAUUGGUCAGGGGUAGGGUUCUGGCAUUGUUACUUGUUUAAAACAAAGUUCCUCCUCCUUCCCAGUGAUUUUAAUUUGUAGCCAGUGUUGGAAAAACCAUGGACUUAACCCUUUCCUAAGAGCUUAGAUCAAUUCUGCAGAUUAGCUAUCUGCCAUUUUGAAAAGGUGGCAUAAGCUCAGGGAAGUAUUCACUGGACAAAAGGAAUUCUGGAUGGCGGAAGCUCUAGGCACCAUCAGGCACUUGCUUUGUGCUGGAAGCUGCAUCAAAUGGCUUGAGCCCAAAGUAGACAUAAGGGCUCCUUAUUUCCCUGGACACUGGGAAAAUCAUUUCUCUUAUUCCAAGAGAACAAUUUUGCUGACCAUGGAAAUACUAUCUCUGGUUUCCAGAGGUACAGUGCUGUUCAGUGCUCUUCUGGAGGUUGUAGUAUGAAGAAAUGACAAAGCCAAAAAGGCAUUCUGACCUAGGGAGACUAUCUUUAAAGCAAAAUAUAAAUGUAGGGCAAAAACUCUGCGGUCUCAGGAGGAUUGGAUCCAGGGGAAAAUGUUUAAAAGGCAAACGUUUAGAAUCAAUUAUACAGCUUCAGCAAUGGUUUGCUAUUGUCUUGCUGUCUUUUUGUUUUGCUUUGUGUAGUGUUCAGAAUAUCUGCAUCAUGUAGCAUCUUUCUAUUUUUAGGAGUCUUUAAACUCCUUUAUUCUGAGGCCCCAGAAUAUUCUCAUCCACCACGUACUUUCACGUGGAGAUGACUGACUUCAUCUUUGACAAUGGCAGUUCCCUAACCUUGAUCCAGCACGGGAGCAGGAAUUAUGGCGAAAAUGGCCACCCAAACUGCACCCAGUGGGAAAACAGCAUUAACUCAGCUUUUAAAAAAGUGUCAACUUGGAAAAUCCAAGACCUAGAUCUGAUGCUUAGGGACCCACAAUGCCAGGC